UACGUAGGGGGCAAGCGUUGUCCGGAAUCAUUGGGCGUAAAGCGCGUGUAGGCGGCCCGAUAAGUCCGCUGUGAAAGUCCAGGGCUCAACCCUGGAAUGCCGGUGGAUACUGUCGGGCUCGAGUCCGGAAGAGGCGAGUGGAAUUCCUGGUGUAGCGGUGGAAUGUGUAGAUAUCGGGAAGAACACCAAAGGCGAAAGCACUCUGCUGGGCCGAAACUGACACUGAUAGACGAAAGCUAGGGGAGCAAAUGGG
rnacentral:rRNA from 1 species